ACCAUGCAUUCAGUUGAGUUGCUCGCGGGAAACCUGAUCAGUAUUUGUGCGACAGCGAACAAACCAACAUCGUACCAUUUAAAGUAUUUUUGAUCCGGUUUGGUAUUGAAUAGCUUUUGAAAGAAAAUGAAAGCAGAGAAUACUAAAAAGUGGCCAAGGCAAACCAACAAAGAAGAGGCGACUGACGAGUAUGUAAUAGUACCGCCGGAUGGAGGAUAUGGGUGGGUCGUUACGGUGGCAAGUUUUUUGUGCAUUCUAAUUUCAGACGGCAUACUCUAUUGCUUUGGAUUGAUCAUCUCUGAGGUGGAGCGUGUUUUUGACGAACCUGUUGCGAAAACCGCUUGGAUAUUUUCCAUUUUCAACGCGAUAUCAUAUUUCUCAGGCCCCGUAGCCUCUGCAUUGAGCAACCGGUUCGGUUUUCGUGUCGUCGUCAUAACGGGCAGUUUAUUUGGUUUCGUCGGUCUCCUGACUUCUGCGUUCGCUCAAUCAGUGGAAAAUUUGUUUUUCACUCUUGGUCUUCUUUUUGGAUUUGCAAUUUGUCUGGUGUUCACCCCGAUAAUCGUCAACGUCAGCUUUUAUUUCGACAAAAAGCGUGCCCUGGCAACCGGAAUCGCCAUCUGCGGCUCUGGAGCCGGUACUUUUGUCUUUGCGCCUGUCGUUAAUUGGCUAUUAAAAACUUAUGCACUCAGAGGGACAUUCCUCAUUCUGAGUGGGAUUUAUUUGAACUGUGGAGUUUUUGGAGCAUUACUCAUACCGCUGAAACCUCAACGGUGCAACAAGGUGCGAUCAGAAACGGUUAAACUGUUAGAGAAAAAAGAUACCGAAGCGCUGAUGUUCGAGAAAUAUCUGAUAACAAAAGAAAUCAAAUUUAAUUCCAGAAAUAAUCUAAACGUUUCGGAACAAGAAAAAGUGGACAACAGAACGAGGAGGGAAUAUGUUAAUCAAAACUAUUUCUCAAACUUUUCCAAGUUGUUCAAGUUUUCGCUGUUUCGAUCUCCGACUUUAGUUGUCAUUUGCGUUUCUAGUUUCUUCCAAUCUUUCGGAUGGUUGGUUCCUUUAAUGUAUCUGGCAGCUCAUGCAGUUAACAUGGGAAUACCAAAAGAAGAGGCGUCGUUUCUUCUAUCGAUUAUUGGAAUCUGUAAUAUGAUAGGACGCAUUAUCAACGGAUGGCUUUCUGACAACCCUAAGGUUAGCGUGCUCUUUCUCAACAAUAUGGGUUUGACAGUCUCCGGUUUGUUGAUUAUGAUUUGCCCAUUUUGCAUCUCGUAUUAUCAACUUCUUUUUUUCUCCAUAGCACUCGGUUUAUUUACCUCCUGCACCGCUGUAACUCGACCGAUUUUACUUGGGGAACUUUUGGGGUUGGAAAAUGUCAACAACGCUUACGGGUUCAUGCUCGUUUUUUACGGAGUCGCAACCCUCUUCGGAAUUCCUAUGGCUGGUUUACUAUAUGACACUUUGGGAGAUUAUCAUGGAGCUUUUUACCUUGCCGGAUCUUCCAUCCUUCUAUCUGCGUUUGGGAACAAAAUACUAAAAGCAUAGUGCCAACUAAUAACUGCAAACAUUUGGUUCUACGCUAGACAAUAGCGUAUUUCUUACUCGGCAGGUGGGCCAAUCAAAACAGGUAGACCGUUAGGUUAAUUGCUUUAAUUUUGAUUGAUUACUAAUCGAAUAAGUAAACUGUGAAUUUUACAGAGGUAUACUUUCGUUUGGGUUUUUUUUUUCAAAAGAAAACCUUUUGCGUUCAAGUUGCGUAACUUUUUCUCCAGACUACCAGAUGCGUGACUCAUCUGCACACUUUUUCCUGAUUGCAAAUAUAUGUAAUGGGAAGCAACGUUUAGAAACCAUUAGUCGGCGCGUGUUAUUUGCUGUUAGGGAAAUACGAAAUCCCUCGCGUUGUUUUUGAGUAAUUAGCAAUGGAAGCAGCAAACUCGGUUUCGGAGACGAUGGGCAAGUGGUGGUCAUUGGCGGUCCCGUAACGUCACCAAAAUCUCCGUCUGUGCAACACGAAAUCGACUAUUCGACAGCACAGAUAGGAGUUGCUCUUGCCGGCCCCGUAGCCGCUGCAUUGAGCAACCGGUUCGGUUUUCGUGUCGUCGUCAUAACGGGCAGUUUAUUUGGUUUCGUCGGUCUCCUGACUUCUGCGUUCGCUCAAUCAGUGGAAAAUUUGUUUUUCACUCUUGGUCUUCUUUUUGGAUUUGCAAUUUGUUUGGUGUUCACCCCAAUAAUUGUGAACAUCAGCUUUUAUUUCGACAAAAAGCGUGCCCUGGCAACCGGAAUCGCCAUCUGCGUCUCUGUAGCCGGUACUUUUGUCUUUGCGCCUGUCGUUAAUUGGCUAUUAAAAACUUAUGCACUCAGAGGGACAUUCCUCAUUCUGAGUGGGAUUUAUUUGAACUGUGGAGUUUUUGGAGCAUUACUCAUACCGCUGAAAUCUCAAUGGUGCAACAAGGAGCGAUCAGAAACAGUUAAACUGUUAGAGCAAAUAGAUAUCGAAGCGGUAAUGAUCGAGAACCCUCCGAUUACAAAAGAAAUCGAAUUAAAUAUCAGAAAUAAUUUAAACGUUUCGGAACCAGAGAAAGUGGAAAGCAAAACAACGAGGGAAAAUCUUAUCCAAAAAUAUUUUUCAAACUUUUCCAAGUUGUUCAAAUUUUCUCUGUUUCAAUCUCCGACUUUUGUUGUCAUUUGCGUUUCUAGUUUCUUCCAAUCUUUCGGAUGGUUGGUUCCGUUCAUGUAUCUGGCAGCACAUGCGGUUAACAUGGGAAUACCAAAAGAGAAGGCGUCGUUUCUUCUAUCGAUUGUGGGAAUCUGUAAUAUGAUAGGACGCAUUAUCAACGGAUGGAUUUCAGACCAUCCU